UGGGCAACCUGCCCCAGACACUGGGAUAACUCCGGGAAACCGGGGCUAAUACCGGAUACUCUCAGCCGACCGCAUGACCGGCUGAGGAAAGCUCCGGCGGUCUGGGAUGGGCCCGCGGCCUAUCAGCUUGUUGGUGGGGUAACGGCCUACCAAGGGUACGAUCGGUAGCUGGUCUGAGAGGACGAUCAGCCACACUGGAACUGAGACACGGUCCAGACUCCGUACGGGAG
rnacentral:rRNA from 1 species